rnacentral:rRNA from 1 species
GCCAUGCGAGUCGAGAGGUGUAAGACCUCGGCAUACUGCUCAGUAACACGUGGUUAACCUGCCCUAAGGUGGAGAAUACUCCCGGGAAACUGGGGCUAAUGCUCAAUAGUGGAUGCAUCCUGGAAUGGUGCAUCCUCGAAAGAUCCGUCGCCUUAGGAUGGGACUGCGUCCGAUUAGGUUGUUGGCGGGGUAACGGCCCACCAAGCCAUUGAUCGGUACGGGUUGUGGGAGCAAGAUCCCGGAGAUGGAUUCUGAGACAUGAAUCCAGGCCCUACGGGGCGCAGCAGGCGCGCAAACUUUACAAUGCGAGCAAUCGUGAUAAGGAAACCCUGAGUGCCUGUCGAUGCAGGCUGUUCAUAUAUCUAAAUCAUAUGUGAAGAAAGGGCAGGGCAAGACCGGUGCCAGCCGCCGCGGUAAUACCGGCUGCUCGAGUGAUGGCCACUAUUACUGGGUUUAAAGCGUCCGUAGCUUGACUGUUAGGUCCCUUGGGAAAUCUUCACGCUUAACGUGAAAGCGUCUAAGAGAUACCGGCAGUCUUGGAACUGGGAGAGGUAAACCGUACUUCGGGGGUAGGAGUGAAAUCUUGUAAUCCUCGAGGGACGACCUAUGGCGAAGGCAGUUUACCAGAACAGCUUCGACAGUGAGGGACGAAAGCUGGGGGAGCAAACGGGAUUAGAUACCCCGGUAGUCCCAGCCGUAAACAAUGUGCGUUAGGUGUGUCGGUAACCACGCGUUACUGAUGCGCCGAAGAGAAAUCGUGAAACGCACCACCUGGGAAGUACGGUCGCAAGGCUGAAACUUAAAGGAAUUGGCGGGGGAGCACCACAACAGGUGGAGCCUGCGGUUU